AUUGAACGCUGGCGGCAGGCCUAACACAUGCAAGUCGAACGCGUGGCGGACGGGUGAGUAUUGUCUGGGAAACUGCCUGCUCGCGGGGGAUAAUUACUGGAAACGGUAGCUAAUACCGCUUACCACCCUAUGUGCCCAGAUGGGAUUAGCUUGUUGGUGGGGUAACGGCUCACCAAGGCGACGAUCCAUAGCUGGUCUGAGAGGGUGACCGGCCACACUGGGACUGAGACACGGUCCAGACUCCUACGGGAGGCAGCAGGGGGGAAUAUUGCGCAAUGGACGGAAGCCUGAUGCAGCCAUGCCGCGUGUAUGAAGAAGGCCUUCGGGUUGUAAAGUACUUUCAGCGGGGGGGCGUUACCCGCAGAAGAAGCACCGGCUAACUCCGUGCCAGCAGCCGCGGUAAUUC
rnacentral:rRNA from 1 species